CCCACUGUAGCUCAUUUGGUAGAGCUUGGCGCUUGCAACGCCAGGGUUGUGUGUUCGAUUCCCACGGGGGGGC
rnacentral:tRNA from 1 species